rnacentral:misc_RNA from 1 species
UUUAGAGGAAGUAAAAGUCGUAACAAGGUUUCCGUAGGUGAACCUGCGGAAGGAUCAUUAAAUAAUUUUUUAAUUUUAUUCUUCGCGGAAUAUCAUUAAUAUAUUUUACUGUGAACUGUAUUAUUUCAUGACGCUUGAGGAAUGCUUCUGCUGUACCAUAAUGGACAGGUCAGCGAAGAUGUUAACCGAGUCGUGGUCAAGCUUAGGCUUGGUGUCCUUAAUUAUUAUUAUCCAAAAGAAUUCAUUUUAAAAAUAUUUUAAUAUGGGCGUAAAAAACUCAUUAAAACAACUUUUAACAACGGAUCUCUUGGUUCUCGCAUCGAUGAAGAACGUAGCAAAGUGCGAUAACUAGUGUGAAUUGCAUAUUCAGUGAAUCAUCGAGUCUUUGAACGCAUCUUGCGGUCAAUGGUAUUCCAUUGACCACGCCUGUUUCAGUAUCAAAAACUACCCCACAUCUAUAAUUUUUUUUGUUGUAGAUGGCCAUUGAGAGUUUUUACCGGUGGAUCUUUUUCCAUGGGUUCUCUUUAAUAUCACUUGGCAGAAGGAAUUGACUGUAUGUUCGUGGAUGCCCAUUAAACCUUUUAAUUAAAAGAUUUUUUUGGGCACUCAAAGU